rnacentral:rRNA from 1 species
GUAAUAGCUCACUGGUCGAGUCGGCCUGCGCGGAAGAUGUAACGGGGCUAAACCAUGCACCGAAGCUGCGGCAGCGACGCUUAUGCGUUGUUGGGUAGGGGAGCGUUCUGUAAGCCUGUGAAGGUGUGCUGUGAGGCAUGCUGGAGGUAUCAGAAGUGCGAAUGCUGACAUAAGUAACGAUAAAGCGGGAGAAAAGCCCGCUCGCCGGA